UAAAAAUCGAACUUCCCUUCAUGAGGUUACUCUCCUUCUUCCUGCUUGGUGAUUGAUUUCGAUAUCCUUUACCUAAUGUAAGGUCGAUCAGUUCUUCCUGAAUUGUGGUAUCACUACAUUGCAUCUCAGGAACAUCCAGACUUUAAGCCUUGUGAAAAAUUGGAAAAACCAUCGAGUUUUGUAGCUCGGGCUCAGUAUCUACCUAGAAGCAAAAUUACUUUGGGGAAAAUGUAGUUGUUGUCCCAGGUAUCCUUUCUAGAGUUUCUCUGCCAAUUUCUUUUUGGUCUUUCACUUUUUAUGAGUUUCUCCAUUUCUUUCUGUGAGGACACAAGUCAAGGAGCUUGGAUAGGCCUUGCCAAAAAUAUCUUGUGGGUCCCUUUAACUUUGUUUACACAAAUGCUUUGCUUUACGA